rnacentral:rRNA from 1 species
UACGAAGGGGGCUAGCGUUGCUCGGAAUCACUGGGCGUAAAGGGUGCGUAGGCGGCGCGGUAAGUCGGGUGUGAAAUCUCGGAGCUUAACUCCGAAACUGCAUUCGAUACUGCCGUGCUUGAGGACUGGAGAGGAGACUGGAAUUUACGGUGUAGCGGUGAAAUGCGUAGAUAUCGUAAGGAAGACCAGUGGCGAAGGCGGGUCUCCGGACAGUUCCUGACGCUGAGGCACGAAGGCCAGGGGAGCAAACGGG